rnacentral:rRNA from 1 species
UAGGGAAUCUUCGGCAAUGGACGGAAGUCUGACCGAGCAACGCCGCGUGAGUGAAGAAGGUUUUCGGAUCGUAAAGCUCUGUUGUUAGAGAAGAAUGUUGGCAGGAGUGGAAAAUCUACCAAGUGACGGUAACUAACCAGAAAGGGCCGGCUAACUACGUGCCAGCAGCCGCGGUAAUACGUAGGUCCCGAGCGUUGUCCGGAUUUAUUGGGCGUAAAGCGAGUGCAGGCGGUUCUUUAAGUCUGAAGUUAAAGGCAGUGGCUUAACCAUUGUACGCUUUGGAAACUGGAGGACUUGAGGGCAGAAGGGGAGAGUGGAUUUCCGUGUGUAGCGGGGAAAUGCGUAGAUAUAUGGAGGAACACCGGUGGCGAAAGCGGCUCUCUGGUCUGUAACUGACGCGGAGGCUCGAAAGCGUGGGGAGCAAACAGG